rnacentral:rRNA from 1 species
UACAGAGGUCUCAAGCGUUGUUCGGAAUCACUGGGCGUAAAGGGUGCGUAGGCGGCGCGGAAAGUCAGGGGUGAAAUCCCGGGGCUCAACCCCGGAACUGCCUUUGAUACUCCCGUGCUUGAGUGCUGGAGAGGAGUCCGGAAUUCACGGUGGAGCAGUGAAAUGCGUGGAUAUCGUGAGGAACACUAGCGGCGAAGGCGGGACUCUGGACAGUCACUGACGCUGAGGCACGAAGGCCAGGGGAGCAAACGGGAUUAGAAACCCCCGUAGUCC